AUUGAACGCUGGCGGCAGGCCUAACACAUGCAAGUCGAACGAGUGGCGGACGGGUGAGUAAUGUCUGGGAAACUGCCUGAUGGAGGGGGAUAACUACUGGAAACGGUAGCUAAUACCGCAUACCAUCGGAUGUGCCCAGCUGGGAUUAGCUAGUAGGUGGUGUAAAGGUUCACCUAGGCGACGAUCCCUAGCUGGUCUGAGAGGAGGAGCAGCCACACUGGACCUGAGACACGGUCCAGACGCCUACGGGAGGCAGCAGUGGGGAAUGUUGCACAAUGUGCGCAAGCCUGAUGCAGCCAUUCCGCGUGUAUGGAGAAGGCCUUCGGGUUGUAAAGUACUUUCAGCGGGGAGGCGUUACCCGCAGAAGAAGCACCGGCUAACUCCGUGCCAGCAGCCGCGGUAAUUC
rnacentral:rRNA from 1 species